UAGCAGCCUACCGGGAGGGCCCAGUGGCAAGAAAUUAAGUCUGCCAAGGACAGCUGUGUGAGUGAUCUUGGAAGUGAAUCCUUCCCAGCCUUCAGAUGACUGCAGUCCUGACCAACAUCUUUUUGUUUGUUUGUUUGUUUGUUUGUUUGUUUGUUUGUUUGUUUUGAGAUGGAGUUUCGCUGUUGUUGCCCAGGCUGGAGUGCAAUGGCGUGAUCUCGGCUCACUGCAAACUCUGCCUCCUGGGUUCAAGUGAUUCUCCUGCCUCAGCCUCCCGAGUAGCUGGGAUUACAGGCAUGCACCACCACGCCUGACUAAUUUUGUAUUUUUAGUAGAGACGGGGUUUCUCCAUGUUGGUCAGGCUGGUCUUGAACUCCCAACCUCAGGUGAUCCGCCCGCCUCAGACUCCAAAGUGCUGGGAUUACAGGUGUGAGCCACCACGCCCGGCCCUGACCAACAUCUUGACUGAAACUCACGAGACACUGAGCCACAACCUUCCAACUAAGCUGUUCCUGGAUUUCUGACCCUAGGAAACUGUGUGAGGUUUCUUGAAGGUCAGCGUGAGGUCCCUCUGGCAACUGGAGACAGAGCCGGUUUUCAAGCCCUGAGAAUGCAUGCCUCUGCAAGUCAAGGCUGUCUCCUCUGCAGGGUAGCAUGUGUU
rnacentral:lncRNA from 1 species